AUUGAACGCUGGCGGCAGGCCUAACACAUGCAAGUCGAGCGGAUGAAGCGAUCUUGCUCCUGGAUUCAGCGGCGGACGGGUGAGUAAUGCCUAGGAAACUGCCUGGUAGUGGGGGAUAACGUCCGGAAACGGGCGCUAAUACCGCAUACGUCCUGCGGGAGAAAGUGGGGGAGCUUCGGAGCUCACGCUGUCAGGUGAGGCUAGGUCGGUUUAGCGAGUUGGUGGGGUAUAGGCCUACCAAGGCGACGGUCCGUAACUGGUCUGAGAGGAUGAUCAGUCACACUGAGACUGAGACACGGUCCAGACUCCUACGGGAGGCAGCAGUGGGGAAUAGUGGAAGAUGGGCGAAAUCCUGAUCCAGCCAUGCAGCGUGUGUGAAGAAGGUCUUCGGAUUGUAUAGCACUUUAAGUGGGGAGGACGGGUAGUAAGUUAAUACCUUGCUGGUUUGACGUUAGCAACAGAAGAAGCACCGGCUAACUUCGUG
rnacentral:rRNA from 1 species